GUCGGGCCGUCUCCCAUUUUGAGUUGCCAUGAUAAUAAAAUACUAGAAUCGAGGGAAAAUAUGGUUAUCGACACGCGUUCCUUCUCCUUCACCGUCUUAACACACAACGUUGCUUGCCACCGUUUCUAUUAUUUCAUUUUCCUUUCCUCUGUUUCUGACCAUAUUAAACCAAAUCCUCGCCGCUUCCGUUCUUUAAUUCUUCUCCAACAAAAUUCUUUCUUUUUUCUUUGCGCUUCAACAUUUUUCCAAGGAACGGAGGGGCUGCACUGCACAUAUUUGAAAAUGGUUCAGAUUAAAGAUUUUUAUCCUAUUUUAGAAAUCGCCAUUUAUUCUUGGAAUUCUGUUUUCUGAAUUAUGUCUGCCUCUUUCUGUUUAUUUGUUCAUAUUGUUGUGGGAUCAUGACGCAAUUUGUUGAUUUCUUUGCUGUUAAAAUCAAUUUUCCGAAAAUUUGUUUUUCUUAACUGGGUUUGUGGUGCAGUCGGAUUGUUAUGCCAUUAUCAGUGGAAGAGGUAAUUGCAAUUGAUGUUUUGAGAAAAAUAUACUCCCUCCGUACCUUAAAAACAACAACUUUUGAAGGGUAACUGGCAAUUGGUAAUGUUAGAGAGAUCAGAAUACAAAAAAUUUUCAAGUAGCUCAGAUAUACAUGGUGAUGAAAAUGCAGCAACAGAACACCAAUUCAACGGAAGGGGUGGAGGUGUUAGAGAACAGACCCUUCGAAGAUCAACUAAUUGGAAAAGGCCAAUAAUACACUUUGAAAAUUUAUAGGCUGCAAAGCAAAGCUCCUACUUGGUUAUCUGCAUUUGCCCCGGCCGAUGCUCUUGUGAUGCAGGAGGAAGCUUGGAAUGCUUAUCCAAGAUGUAAAUUAGGCCUCCUAAUUAGGUACGAAGUAAUUACCUGAAUGGGAGUGAGUUUCCUGCGGUAGAAGCGAUCGGCCAACUCAGGAACUCCCCCGACGUUUCUAUGCAGGCUCCGGCAGGCGUGUGAGGCGUGAAGGCAGUCG